GACGAACGCUGGCGGCGUGCUUAACACAUGCAAGUCGAACGGAAAGGCCCUGCUUUUGUGGGGUGCUCGAGUGGCGAACGGGUGAGUAACACGUGAGUAACCUGCCCUUGACUUUGGGAUAACUUCAGGAAACUGGGGCUAAUACCGGAUAGGAGCUCCUGCUGCAUGGUGGGGGUUGGAAAGUUUCGGCGGUUGGGGAUGGACUCGCGGCUUAUCAGCUUGUUGGUGGGGUAGUGGCUUACCAAGGCUUUGACGGGUAGCCGGCCUGAGAGGGUGACCGGCCACAUUGGGACUGAGAUACGGCCCAGACUCCUACGGGAGGCAGCAGUGGGGAAUAUUGCACAAUGGGCGGAAGCCUGAUGCAGCAACGCCGCGUGCGGGAUGACGGCCUUCGGGUUGUAAACCGCUUUCGCCUGUGACGAAGCGUGAGUGACGGUAAUGGGUAAAGAAGCACCGGCUAACUACGUGCCAGCAGCCGCGGUGAUACGUAGGGUGCGAGCGUUGUCCGGAUUUAUUGGGCGUAAAGGGCUCGUAGGUGGUUGAUCGCGUCGGAAGUGUAAUCUUGGGGCUUAACCCUGAGCGUGCUUUCGAUACGGGUUGACUUGAGGAAGGUAGGAGAGAAUGGAAUUCCUGGUGGAGCGGUGGAAUGCGCAGAUAUCAGGAGGAACACCAGUGGCGAAGGCGGUUCUCUGGGCCUUUCCUGACGCUGAGGAGCGAAAGCGUGGGGAGCGAACAGGCUUAGAUACCCUGGUAGUCCACGCUGUAAACGGUGGGUACUAGGUGUGGGGUCCAUUCCACGGGUUCCGUGCCGUAGCUAACGCUUUAAGUACCCCGCCUGGGGAGUACGGCCGCAAGGCUAAAACUCAAAGGAAUUGACGGGGCCCCGCACAAGCGGCGGAGCAUGCGGAUUAAUUCGAUGCAACGCGUAGAACCUUACCUGGGUUUGACAUGGAUCGGGAGUGCUCAGAGAUGGGUGUGCCUCUUUUGGGGUCGGUUCACAGGUGGUGCAUGCCUGUCGUCAGCUCGUGUCGUGAGAUGUUGGGUUAAGUCCCGCAACGAGCGCAACCCUUGUUCACUGUUGCCAGCACGUUAUGGUGGGGACUCAGUGGAGACCGCCGGGGUCAACUCGGAGGAAGGUGGGGAUGACGUCAAGUCAUCAUGCCCCUUAUGUCCAGGGCUUCACGCAUGCUACAAUGGCUGGUACAGAGAGUGGCGAGCCUGUGAGGGUGAGCGAAUCUCGGAAAGCCGGUCUCAGUUCGGAUUGGGGUCUGCAACUCGACCUCAUGAAGUCGGAGUCGCUAGUAAUCGCAGAUCAGCAACGCUGCGGUGAAUACGUUCCCGGGGCC
rnacentral:rRNA from 1 species